GACGAACGCUGGCGGCGUGCUUAACACAUGCAAGUCGAACGAAGAGCGAUGGAAGCUUGCUUCUAUCAAUCUUAGUGGCGAACGGGUGAGUAACGCGUAAUCAACCUGCCCUUCAGAGGGGGACAACAGUUGGAAACGACUGCUAAUACCGCAUACGAUCUAAUCUCGGCAUCGAGGAUAGAUGAAAGGUGGCCUCUACAUGUAAGCUAUCACUGAAGGAGGGGAUUGCGUCUGAUUAGCUAGUUGGAGGGGUAACGGCCCACCAAGGCGAUGAUCAGUAGCCGGUCUGAGAGGAUGAACGGCCACAUUGGGACUGAGACACGGCCCAGACUCCUACGGGAGGCAGCAGUGGGGAAUCUUCCGCAAUGGACGAAAGUCUGACGGAGCAACGCCGCGUGAGCGAUGACGGCCUUCGGGUUGUAAAGCUCUGUUAAUCGGGACGAAAGGCCUUCUUGCGAAUAGUGAGAAGGAUUGACGGUACCG
rnacentral:rRNA from 1 species